GAUGGACGCUGGCGGCGUGCCUAAUACAUGCAAGUCGAGCGAGAAGCUUGGAAAUGACGCUUCGGUUGAUUUUCCAAGCGGACAGCGGCGGACGGGUGAGUAACGCGUAGGCAACCUGCCCCUGACAGAGGGAUAGCCAUUGGAAACGAUGAUUAAAACCUCAUGACACCGUAGUAGCACAUGCUACAUCGGUCAAAGAUUUAUCGGUCAGGGAUGGGCCUGCGUCUGAUUAACUGGUUGGUGAGGUAACGGCUCACCAAGGUGACGAUCAGUAGCCGACCUGAGAGGGUGAUCGGCCACAUUGGAACUGAGACACGGUCCAAACUUCUACGGAAGGCAGCAGUAGGGAAUCUUGCACAAUGGGCGAAAGCCUGAUGCAGCAACGCCGCGUGAAGGAUGAAGGCCUUCGGGUUGUAAACUUCUGUUCUAAGGGAAGAAAGAAAUGACGGUACCUU
rnacentral:rRNA from 1 species